CCGUGCUCCAGGCAGUACAGCUCCCAGCAGGUGUUGCCCAUCUGGACACCAGCCUGGCCAACGUGGAUAGAGAUACACUCGCGCUGCGGAAUGAAAAAGGAGAGAUUUCUGUAGUCUGUCAACAAAAGGCCAGCUGUCACCGAUGACAUGAGAACACAAACGCGACAGAUAUGUCUCCAAAGAGUUUAGGCUUUCCACACAAUGUUUGGAACCUGGCUGCAGAGAUUUGCUCCUAUUCAGCCUCAAGAGCAUCUGCAUGCAGCACUGAUGCUGGGUGAUCAGGUCUGGCUCACAGUUCAUCACAAAGGAGUCGGAUGGGGUUGAGGUCGGAGCUCUGUGCAGCUCAGUUCUUCCACACCAAACUGGGAAAACCAUUUCUGUUUGGAGCUGGCUUUGUGGCUUUGAAACAGGAAAGGUGGUGCAAGAAGUGUGUACAUACUUUGUUACAAGUAAAAUCCCUGCAUUCAAAAUAAAGUAAAAAGUACAAAAGCAUUAGCAUCAAAAUAUACUUAAUAAAGUACCAAAAGUAAAAGUAUUCACUAUGCAGAUUGGCCUAUUUCAAAAUAAUGUGUAUUUUAAUGUUGCAGCUGGUAAAUGGAAGUACUCAAGUAAAGUACAGAUACCUCAAAAUUGUACUUAAGCACAGCACUUGAUUAAACGUACAGUUUCUUUCCACCCCUGGUUAUUUCUCUCUACUCUGUACCACACAGUAGUACUCAGUAGUGACCUUACCACAUCUAUUGGAGUCUUUCAAUAUCCCUACCUAUAAUAUUGUAUUUCUGCUGUGAAAUAUCUGAUGUUGUAUUAUACUCUCUCCACCUGUCAAUCACCGCCAUCAUCAGAAUAAAUUGGACGUUUCUCCAAUA